rnacentral:tRNA from 1 species
GCCUAGUUAGCUUGGUUGGUAGCGCGUCUGCCUUGUAAGCGCUAGGCCGCGGGUUUGAUUCCCGCCCGGGGCA